GACGAACGCUGGCGGCGUGCUUAACACAUGCAAGUCGAGCGGAGCGGCGAACGGGUGAGUAACGCGUGAGUAACUGCCCCCCUCUCUGUGAUAACAGUUGGAAACGGCUGCUAAUACCGGAUAGUGGGGGAUGACUCGCGGCCUAUCAGCUUGUGGGUGGGGUAGUGGCCUACCGAGGCGACGACGGGUAGCCGACCUGAGAGGGCGACCGGUCACAUUGGGCUGAGGUACGGCGCCAGGUCCUACGGGCGGCAACGGUGGGGAAUAUGGGACAAUGGGGGAAACCCGGAUGCGGCAACGCCGCGUGCGGGAUGACGGCGUUGGGGUUGUAAACCGCUUUCAGCCAUGACGCGGUAGUGGCAGAAGAAGCACCGGCUAACUACGUGCCAGCAGCCGCGGUAAUAC
rnacentral:rRNA from 1 species